GACGAACGCUGGCGGCGUGCUUAACACAUGCAAGUCGAACGGAAAGGCCCUGCUUUUGUGGGGUGCUCGAGUGGCGAACGGGUGAGUAACACGUGAGUAACCUGCCCUUGACUUUGGGAUAACUUCAGGAAACUGGGGCUAAUACCGGAUAGGAGCUCCUGCUGCAUGGUGGGGGUUGGAAAGUUUCGGCGGUUGGGGAUGGACUCGCGGCUUAUCAGCUUGUUGGUGGGGUAGUGGCUUACCAAGGCUUUGACGGGUAGCCGGCAUGAGAGGGUGACCGGGCACAUGACGACUGAGAGACGGCGCAGACUCCUACGGUAGGCAGCAGGGGGGAAUAUGGCACAAUGGGCGGAAGUCUGAUGCAGCAACGCCGCGUGCGGGAUGACGGCCUUCGGGUUGUGAACCGCUUUCGCCUGUGACGCAGCGGGAGUGACGGUAAUGGAUAAAGAAGCACCGGCUAACUACGUG
rnacentral:rRNA from 1 species